rnacentral:rRNA from 1 species
GACGAACGCUGGCGGCGUGCUUAACACAUGCAAGUCGAACGGAAAGGCCCUGCUUUUGUGGGGUGCUCGAGUGGCGAACGGGUGAGUAACACGUGAGUAACCUGCCCUUGACUUUGGGAUAACCUCAGGAAACUGGGGCUAAUACCGGAUAGGAGCUCCUGCUGCAUGGUGGGGGUUGGAAAGUUUCGGCGGUUGGGGAUGGACUCGCGGCUUAUCAGCUGGUUGGUGGGGUAGUGGCUUACCAAGGCUUUGACGGGUAGCCGGCCUGGGAGGGUGACCGGCCACCUUGGGCCUGAGAUACGGACCAGUAUCCUACGGGAGGCAGCAGUGGGGAACAUUGCACAAUGGGCGGAAGCCUGAUGCAGCAACGCCGCGUGCGGGAUGACGGCCUUCGGGUUGUAAACCGCUUUCGCCUGUGACGAAGCGUGAGUGACGGUAAUGGGUAAAGAAGCACCGGCUAACUACGUG